UCUCGAUAACGUAAAAGUUAACUCAAAUUUGUAUGGAGUUGGAAUGUUCGCCUAAGUUUGCCGCUAGGGGCGCUGUUCCAACUGCAUACAAAUUUGAAUUAACUUUUACGCUACCGA
rnacentral:pre_miRNA from 9 species